AGCGAACGCUGGCGGCAGGCUUAACACAUGCAAGUCGAACGCCCCGCAAGGGGAGUGGCAGACGGGUGAGUAACACGUGGGAACGUACCCUUUGGUUCGGAAUAACUUGGGGAAACUCAAGCUAAUACCGGAUAAGCCCUUAUGGGGAAAGGUUUACUGCCGAAGGAUCGGCCCGCGUCUGAUUAGCUAGUUGGUGAGGUAAUGGCUCACCAAGGCGACGAUCAGUAGCUGGUCUGAGAGGCUGAUCAGCCACACUGGGACUGAGACACGGCCCAGACUCCUACGGGAGGCAGCAGUGGGGAAUAUUGGACAAUGGGGGCAACCCUGAUCCAGCCAUGCCGCGUGAGGGAUGAAGGCCUUAGGGUUGUAAAGCUCUUUUACCCGGGACGAUAAUGACUGUACCGGGAGAAUAAGCCCCGGCUAACUUCGUGCCAGCCGCCGCUGUAA
rnacentral:rRNA from 1 species